rnacentral:lncRNA from 1 species
CCCUUCUCUUGAGAAAAGCGAGUAAUAAAUGCUUCUUUCCAAGGCGGUUGUCUCUGUGUCUGUCGUUGUAUCAUCCCCGAUGAAAACAAAAUGAGGGUAUAUCUAAAAUAGCUACGAAACAUCAUCCUGGAUCCUCAAUAGCGUGUGUGCGUCUAAACUGUGCUGGCACCACAGUGGUCUGUGAGACAGACUUUGCGCUCCCACCCUAUGUGAUUUUGAAGGCGAAGGGUACAAACCAGCUAAUUGUGAUAACAGGCAACCUUGUCUGAUGACCUGCAAACAACGAGUGCUUCACAUGACUCAGCUCAUUUUGCCCUCAACCCGCUCUACGCGGUAAGCACCGUCAUCACUCCCUUUUUACACAGGAGCAAACUGACUCAGAGAGGGUGAGGAAGGAGUUCAAGAUGAUUCAGCUCGUGGGCAAUGGAGCUCAGAGGCAGUCUGGCUCCAGCGGCUGGGUUUUGAAUGUUGUGUUUGUAUUAUAUUGGCUGUUCCCUCAAUCCCACCUGCUACACCUUUACAUCUUGACUGCCAGGUAGUCAUGGGCGUCAACAAAUAUUUGCCGAGGACCAAAUGCAUACAUUGCAUGACCCCAGGCACCAGGAGUACCCGACUAGAAGAAAACUAAGCCCUGCCAGCUCUUGGGGAACAUCAUGAAAAUACAACAGUCCAAGGGAGCUUCCGGUAAGAACCAGGUGCGCUAUUUGUUCUGUUGGCUCAGGAGCAACUUCCAAACUCAUUGCCGAAGUGUCCUCGGAAUGAAGAAGACAAACCAGCCCAUCAACCGAACAAUAAUUUCCACUUACGGGGGGAAAAUACGUCUUGCCAAUUCAGUUCACAUUUACCCAAACACAUUUGUAAAACUCUUUGCCCUGAAUAAUCUGUGAUGCACAGAGUAUAAAGUAAAAGCCCCCACAUGAAGUGACAAACGAGGCAGAGGCAAAGCAGUUAACAGUAAGAGCAAACACAAAAAAUAUAACAGCAUCCGUCAGGUGCCAUGUCAAUCACAUAAGAUUGUUUUUCGCCGCUCAUCGUCAAAGAUUAAAGGGUGGAUAUUUAAGGUGUGGGAAAGAGGGGGUCACUUAAUAAUUUCAGCAAGGUGAGGAAGCGGUGUGGUGGGUUUGGGGAAGAAGAGAUUUGGAGUCACACUUGGGGUCAAGUACCAUAUAUUCUAUGACUUAGCUGGGUCUCAGGAGGUCACCUGACUAGUUUCUCAGCCUCAUUUCCACCAGACGUAGAUGAGGAUAAUAGAAAUGAUGGCUCUCCAUCCACCUUGUUGGGAUCUGGCAGGAAGCAAAUGCGAUAUUGG